GGGACUGGAAUUCUCGGUGUAGCAGUGAAAUGCGUAGAUAUCGAGAGAACACCAGUGGCGAAGGCGGGUCCCUGGACAACACUGACACUGAGGCACGAAAGCUAGGGGAGCAAACAGGAUUAGAUACCCUGGUAGUCCUAGCUGUAAACGGUGCAUAUUUGCUGUAAAAGGAAUCGACCCCUUUUGUGGCGUAGCAAACGCGUUAAAUAUGCCGCCUGGGGAGUACGGUCGCAAGAUUAAAACUCAAAGAAAUUGACGGGGGCCUGCACAAGCGGUGGAGUAUGUGGCUUAAUUCGAUGCAACGCGAAGAACCUUACCUGGCCUUGACAUGCACAUAGUAGAAGCCUGAAAGGGUGACGAGGUAGCAAUACCAGUGUGCACAGGUGCUGCAUGGCUGUCGUCAGCUCGUGUCGUGAGAUGUCGGGUUAAGUCCCGCAACGAGCGCAACCCCUGUGUCCUGUUGCCACCCCUUAAUUGGGAGCACUCUGGACAGACUGCCUCGCUUAAACGAGGAGGAAGGUGGGGAUGACGUCAAGUCAGUAUGGCCCUUACGGCCAGGGCUGCACACGUACUACAAUGCCCGGCACAAAGGGAAGCAAGACCGCGAGGUGGAGCAAAUCCCCAAAAACCGGGCCCAGUUCAGAUUGAAGGCUGCAACUCGCCUUCAUGAAGCUGGAAUCGCUAGUAAUGGCGCAUCAGCUACGGCGCCGUGAAUACGUUCCCAGGCCUUGUACACACCGCCCGUCACAUCAUGAAAGCCGUUUGUACCCGAAGUCGUCGUGCUAACCGCAAGGAGGCAGAUGCCGAAGGUAUGGAUGGUGAUUGGGAUGAAGUCGUAACAAGGUAACCAAGGG
rnacentral:rRNA from 1 species